rnacentral:tRNA from 1 species
GGAUUGUGGCUCAGCGGUAGAACACUCACCUAGCACUUGCGAGGCCCUGGGUUCAAUCCUCAGCACCA